UCCCCCGCACCCUUCGCUGUUUGGUUCCCUUCUCUUCAGUUGUCUCUUCUGUUCAGCUGACCCACUUCGCCACCUCAAAAAUCUGCCGUCAAUGCGGCUGUGUGAGCUGGCUCUGGCCCCUCGGACGCUGUACACUGCUAGAAAUGACAGGGUCUUGGACAUGCUCUCUAUUCCGUUGUGCUACUGUUUCUUACUGUGCUUCUCUGUUUUUUUUUGAGCCAGUUGUGCUGGCCUCGCUGGUCUGAGUCUCACUCUGCACUUUUGUCAACUCUUUGACAUUCUUCGCUAUUUUUAAUUAAGAGAUGUGUCUGUUUUCACCCAUCC
rnacentral:sRNA from 1 species